GAUGAACGCUGGCGGCGUGCCUAAUACAUGCAAGUCGAGCGAACGGAUGAGAAGCUUGCUUCUCUGAUGUUAGCGGCGGACGGGUGAGUAACACGUGGAUAACCUACCUAUAAGACUGGGAUAACUUCGGGAAACCGGAGCUAAUACCGGAUAAUAUUUUGAACCGCAUGGUUCAAAAGUGAAAGACGGUCUUGCUGUCACUUAUAGAUGGAUCCGCGCUGCAUUAGCUAGUUGGUAAGGUAACGGCUUACCAAGGCAACGAUGCAUAGCCGACCUGAGAGGGUGAUCGGCAACACUGGAACUGAGACACGGUCCAGACUCCUACGGGAGGCAGCAGUAGGGAAUCUUCCGCAAUGGGCGAAAGCCUGACGGAGCAACGCCGCGUGAGUGAUGAAGGUCUUCGGAUCGUAAAACUCUGUUAUUAGGGAAGAACAUAUGUGUAAGUAACUGUGCACAUCUUGACGGUACCUAAUCAGAAAGCCACGGCUAACUACGUG
rnacentral:rRNA from 1 species